AGUGGCGAACGGGUGAGUAAUGUAUCGGAACGUAUCCAAUAAUGGGGGAUAACGAGUCGAAAGAUUCGCUAAUACCGCAUACGCCCUACGGGGGAAAGCAGGGGAUCUUCGGACCUUGCGUUAAUGGAGCGGCCGAUAUCUGAUUAGCUAGUUGGUGGGGUAAAAGCUCACCAAGGCGACGAUCAGUAGCUGGUCUGAGAGGACGACCAGCCACACUGGAACUGAGACACGGUCCAGACUCCUACGGGAGGCAGCAGUGGGGAAUUUUGGACAAUGGGCGCAAGCCUGAUCCAGCCAUUCCGCGUGAGUGAAGAAGGCCUUCGGGUUGUAAAGCUCUUUCGCAAGGGAAGAAAACUUACCUUCUAAUAAAGGGUGAGGUUGACGGUACCUUGAUAAGAAGCACCGGCUAACUACGUGCCAGCAGCCGCGGUAAUACGUAGGGUGCGAGCGUUAAUCGGAAUUACUGGGCGUAAAGCGUGCGCAGGCGGUUUUGUAAGUCAGAUGUGAAAUCCCCGAGCUCAACUUGGGAACUGCGUUUGAAACUACAAGACUAGAAUAUGUCAGAGGGGGGUAGAAUUCCACGUGUAGCAGUGAAAUGCGUAGAGAUGUGGAGGAAUACCAAUGGCGAAGGCAGCCCCCUGGGAUAAUAUUGACGCUCAUGCACGAAAGC
rnacentral:rRNA from 1 species